rnacentral:rRNA from 1 species
UACGGAAGGGGCAAGCGUUGUUCGGAAUCAUUGGGCGUAAAGGGCGCGUAGGUGGCUCUGUAUGUCUACCGUGAAAGCAUACAGCUCAACUGUAUUUUGUCGGUAGAAACUGCAGGACUUGAGGCUGGGAGGGGCUGGUGGAAUUCCCUGUGUAGCGGUGAAGUGCGUAGAGAUGGGGGAGAACACUCGUGGCGAAGGCGGCCAGCUAGACCAGUUCUGACACUGAGGCGCGACAGCGUGGGGAGCAAACAGG